CAGUAGCCGCGGGAAUACGGAGGGAGCUAGCGUUGUUCGGAAUCACUGGGCGUAAAGCGCACGUAGGCGGCUAUUCAAGUCAGGGGUGAAAGCCCGGGGCUCAACCCCGGAACUGCCUUUGAAACUAGAUAGCUUGAAUCUUGGAGAGGCGAGUGGAAUUCCGAGUGUAGAGGUGAAAUUCGUAGAUAUUCGGAAGAACACCAGUGGCGAAGGCGACUCGCUGGACAAGUAUUGACGCUGAGGUGCGAAAGCGUGGGGAGCAAACAGGAUUAGAUACCCCCGUAGUCCCUGUCUCUUAUAC
rnacentral:rRNA from 1 species